AUCCAAUAAAAAAUGAAAAAAAAGCCCAAUAUAUGUACUAUGCCUCACCUUGAGUUGUUAGUCAUGAACACCCCGAGUACCCACAAACAAUACACGCUAUUGCCCCUGCUCUUGUGCCAACAGAAGUAGGUGGGAGGAGCUUAUUGCUAAAGAGCCUUGUCCAUUGGCCACCGGACAUAGAGAAGUCAAGUAGGUACUGACCAGACAUUCCCUCACUGAUGACUAGCUCCGGUAGACUGGAAGUUGCUCUGCAGUACUUGGGGGACGUCCUCUAUAGUUUUACCUCGUUAUGAAUCUCGUACACAGUGACAAUCAGUGACCAGCAUGGCAAAGUCGGCUUAAGGGCACAAUUGUCGCAUGAAUGUUAUGGGGUCACCAACUGCUUUCUGAUUAGAUUAUAAGUCCAGUCUACAAGAAGAAACUCCAAGAUCUGUGGUAGAGGAGCUCUGAGCCCCAGGGUGAACCUAUUGCAAUUAUUUUGCUAUAUAGACACAACAUUAAAUUUCCCUCUAAAGGUAUAUCUCUCUACACAAAGUUUAAGGGAAGUUCUGUGACCACAUCAAAGAAGUUUCUUCGUCCUGUGGAGAGUAGUGAUUGCAGAAACUUAGAGCUGUUCAAAGUGCACGAGAAUAAAUGGAACUGACUUUCAGUCAGUGAACAUCAGCAAAGAGUUUGCUGGCUACUGGCCUCGAGGUCUCUGCAUGCUGUGCUUCUGUGGACACGAAACCUGGCUUCACGAGAAGGAUGCCGUGGAUCUGCAAAUCUGGCAAGUUAGGCUUCCACAAGGAUGCAUCCAAGCUCUUUACUGGAACCCCAAGGGAAGUAACUAUGAGCAGCAAUGGUUGGCCUGAGAGGCACUGUUAAGGGUGUUCCUAACAUUUCUGGAAAAUGCACUGACUCAUACCCAUGGUACUGAGCGCCCUCAAAACCAGCAGGCUGCUCUCUGGCAUCUCCAUGCCCUACCACCUCCCAUGAUUGAGCCCCAUUUUUACCUCGAUGGGACUAUCUGUCCCCAUUCUUGUUUCCUGACUGUUAAACUUGUCACUGUUACCAGGCAACUGGGUUAAACAUUGUAAACGUGCACAAUGUAAAUAUAGAAGCAGAAGCUUGUUCUAUGGAAGCUUGGUUUGUAGACGCUCCAGUGGACGUAAGUUCCUGGGCUGUGGUUAAAAUUGGAAGGCAACUGUACAAAGCUGGAAAGAUUCUGUGCUGUUUGCCUCAAGUUUUUGUCUCUCCUCAAAUAAAUUGUACUUGGGAAGCUCACAGGCUAUAAGAAGGGUGUGAUUGGUGUAAGAAAGAUACGCGCCAUCUUCACCAGCGUUCAGAUAAUAAGCACAGGCCGUGUAUCAAAGCUUCACAACAGAAUGAACAGCCAUUUAACUUAGAGUAACAGUUUAAUAGUACAUAGCUGUGGUGAGUGUAUGGGCCUCUCUAACCAAUAUCUUCUAUUAACCAAAUAACUACAUAGCCUGCUUAAUCGCAUAAGAAGGGCUCUGUGUAAACCCCCCUUGUGACUCUUCUGCUGAGACCCAUGGAAUUAAGUAUUACCAUGCUUGGGUUUCUUCCUGAAGGUACAGUUUAGUGGCACGUCGCGGAGGAGAAACUUCAAAUGACAUUGUGAAAUUCAAAACUCAAUUCAUUGCAGCCUAUCCAUGACCAGAAGAGAGAAGAACAGGUUUCUGUAACUAGCUGCAAGUGGUAUCUUACAGCCAAAGCAUCAAGCCAGCUCACAUGUUCCUAACGUGCUGGCUUUGCAAUCGUCCGCCGGGACAACUGAAAACCAAUCUCAGAGUUUAAAGUCUUUCCUCUUUGCACAUGAUAACUGCUAAUAAGUUACUUAUUCCACGUGACUUCAAGGCUUUCACGUUAUCUCCACACCAGGACUUCGUCCUCCUGAUCUGGCCAGCUGUGUCGUCUUACUCAUUCAAAGUCUGGGCUUUGGAUAGAAGCCGUGACUACUCCACACGGUUGUUCUGAGUCCUUUGAGCACCUCUCCUUCUUCAUGGUACUGAUCUCUAGACGCCCAUCACUAGACUUUGGCACGUCUGAGUUCCUCAAUGUGAGUCAUCUGCGACUACAUUUGCAGAUCUGGUGGGCUUUUUCGUUUUGUUUUGUUUUUAAAGAGGACAGAAUCAAAGCAUUUAUUCACAAAAGCACUUAACUUCUCUAGGAAAUUAGGUUUUUCCAGUGUGUCUCUCUUUGUCACUAGGUCUCUGGUAAGAGUAUCGAAUAGCACUAGACACUUUGUAAUACCUCAGAUGACAUGUGAUAGCCCCUUAGAUCAAGUGUGGAGUUCUGACAUAUACUACCAUGCCUCCCUACCAGAUAUACUGAGCCACUAUUUCUCAUUUUGAAUUCUGGGACUUAGGAAGGUCAACAUGAAGUCCCAAGGGCAUCAUACAGGCCCCUGUUCUCUCCCUUCAAGUCCCUUCUGUCUGAAUCCUUUUGUUUAUCUGAGGCCCCUUUCACAGUUGUAACAAUCAACCUGCCUAUUCUGUAGCACGAAGAAAUUGAGGGGAAAAGAGGCUUCUACAAUUCCUGAACUUGUCAAGAUGUUACUCAUGGCGUUUAGGAUCAUUUUUCUUUGUUUUAUGACAAUGUAACUGGAACAUGGUUCACAUAGCACAACAUUUGUCUUUUAGUAAAUGUCCUGUAUCAUGGUAUUAUCACCACUGUCAUGUAGUUCCAGAAAAUUUUCAUCAUCUAAAAAGAUACUUCAAAGACACUCACAGAUACUCCCAUAAUCCCCUGUUCUCAGUCCUAAGCAACCACAAAUCUUUCUGUUUUUAUUGAUUUGUAUAUUCUAAGCAGUUGCCAGAAAUAGGACUGCACAGGGUGUACGCUAUCACCCGGUGUGAUUCAUUUGGUAUGCUUUCAAAAUUGACCUGUUCAGUAGUGUGUGUGUGUGUGUGUGUGUGUGUGUGUGUGUGUGUGUGUGUGUGUGUUAUAGCUGCCGUGAUGUUGUGUGGCAUUCAUACAUCACAUUUUGUUUAGCUAUUCAUCUGUUAAUAGACAUUUGGGCUGUUUUCUGUCUUUAGCUAUUGCGAACAGAGCUGUUAUGAACAUGUAUAUUUAAAUUUUCACUUGUUUUCUGUUCCUUUAAGUAUAAGCCUAGAAAUGGAAGUGUUUAGUCUUGUGGCAAUUCUUUGUAUAGUUUACUGAGAGAUUACCAAACUGCUCUCUGUAGAGACUGCAUUUUACAUGCCCCCCCCCCCCGUAUUGCAUCACUGUUAGGGACUAGAUUUCUUUAUCCCCUAAAAGUUCCUAUGUUGAACUUCUGUCCUGAUAUUAAGAGAUAGCUUUGGGUGGUAAUUAGAUUUAGAUGAAGUCAUGAGGGUGGAGAUAGCAUGAGUAAUGCCCUUAUAAAAAGUAUAAAAGGUGUCUGAAAUUCCUCUCUUCACCAUGUGAGAACACAGUAAGAACUGGGGGCAUCUGCAUGCCAGGAAGGGCCACCCUAGAAUCUCAUGCUGUUCCUAGAUCCCAGAAUUCUAGCCACUAGAACUGCAAGAAAUGUAUUCUGUGGUUUUAAAUCACUCUUUAUAAUAGUGAGUUAUAAUAGCCAAAAUGCCUGUAUAUUUGAGGCCUCAAAUUUCUACUUACCCUUUCUGAUACUUGUUUUUCUUUUUUAAAAAAAUCAUGUCGUUGGGACUGGGAAGUUAAUUCAUUUGGUAAAGUGCUUGUUGUGCAAGCAUGAGGACCUGAAUUUGAUUCCCAGGACCCACAAAUGAUGCCAGCUAUGCUAAUAUAUAUUGUAAUCCCACACUGAUGGGCAGACAGGUGGAUCCCUGGGGCUCACUGGACAGCCAGUCAAGAUUAAUCUGCAAGCCCCAGAUCCAAAAGAGAGACUCUAUCUCAGAAAAGAGGGUGGCCUCCUGCACACGCAUGCACACACAUGCAUCCACACAGGAACA
rnacentral:sRNA from 1 species